ensembl:lncRNA
UUCAAAUACUUAGCUAGUGUUUGCUGUAGCAGUUGCAGUGUGCUUCAGAAACCCUCCACCUCCCCCAGCUCCACCUGUAUAGAUCUAUAUGGGAUAAUUCAUGUAAGCUGUAUGGGGGUUAUUUCAUAUAUAUUAUAUAUGCAGCAGCAGUGUUUCUUACAUGCUCACAGCAGCAUGUUGUGGAUAUACUGGCAAUUAACAUUGUCAUGUACAUUAACAUGCCAAUCCCUUUGAGAGCUGUCAUGAUAGAAACUGGUUGCUAGUUUGUGUGUUUAUCUGUUGUUUGAGGUGUCAGUCCCACAGAGAAGCUUCUAUAUCCUGGAUCAGGGGCGACAUCGAGUUUGCUGAGCUCUCCUAAGGGGAACAACAGGACUUCCUUUAAUAAACGCAUCAGUCAGAGAGUGCAGAGAAAGCCUCGCUUUAGAAUGCGGCCGUUCUGAAGUCUUCUACUGUAGCAAGACCUGCAAAACCAAAGUGUGGGAUGAACGCCACAGAGACAGGUGUGACCGUGCCAGUGGACAGGGGAAAAGUAGCAGAUAUAAAUGCACAUCUAUGGGACCAUAUUCACCUAAAGGCAAGACCUUCCACCUCAGUGUGACCCCAG